AACGAACGCUGGCGGCAUGCCUAAUACAUGCAAGUCGAACGAGAUCUUCGGAUCUAGUGGCGCACGGGUGCGUAACGCGUGGGAAUCUACCCUUGGGUUCGGAAUAACAGUUAGAAAUGACUGCUAAUACCGGAUGACGACGUAAGUCCAAAGAUUUAUCGCCCAGGGAUGAGCCCGCGUAGGAUUAGCUAGUUGGUGAG
rnacentral:rRNA from 1 species